CCUACGGGAGGCAGCAGUGAGGAAUAUUGGUCAAUGGACGAGAGUCUGAACCAGCCAAGUAGCGUGAAGGAUGACUGCCCUAUGGGUUGUAAACUUCUUUUAUAUGGGAAUAAAAUGUUCCACGUGUGGGAUUUUGUAUGUACCAUAUGAAUAAGGAUCGGCUAACUCCGUGCCAGCAGCCGCGGUAAUACGGAGGAUCCGAGCGUUAUCCGGAUUUAUUGGGUUUAAAGGGAGCGUAGGUGGAUUGUUAAGUCAGUUGUGAAAGUUUGCGGCUCAACCGUAAAAUUGCAGUUGAAACUGGCAGUCUUGAGUACAGUAGAGGUGGGCGGAAGUCGUGGUGUAGCGGUGAAAUGCUUAGAUAUCACGAAGAACUCCGAUUGCGAAGGCAGUUCACUGGACUGCAACUGACACUGAUGCUCGAAAGUGUGGGUAUCAAACAGGAUUAGAUACCCCAGUAGUC
rnacentral:rRNA from 1 species